UAGGGAAUCUUCCGCAAUGGACGAAAGUCUGACGGAGCAACGCCGCGUGAGUGAAGAAGGAUUUCGGUUCGUAAAACUCUGUUGUUAGGGAAGAAAAAAUGUAUAGUAACUAUAUACAAAAGAGACGGUACCUAACCAGAAAGCCACGGCUAAUUACGUGCCAGCAGCCGCGGUAAUACGUAAGGGGCGAGCGUUGUCCGGAAUUAUUGGGCGUAAAGAGUGCGUAGGCGGCAAAUUAAGUCAGAUAUGAAAACUAAGGGCUCAACCCAUAGAUUGCAUCUGAAACUGAUAUGCUUGAGUCAAGGAGAGGAAAGUGGAAUUCCUAGUGUAGCGGUGGAAUGCGUAGAUAUUAGGAGGAAUACCGGUGGCGAAGGCGACUUUCUGGACUUGAACUGACGCUGAGGCACGAAAGCGUGGGGAGCAAACAGG
rnacentral:rRNA from 1 species